rnacentral:rRNA from 1 species
GCUCAGAGUAUAAGCCAAUGGAGCUUGGAAGGCUUCCGCAGUUUAUGUUCAUCAUACGUGGUGUCCUUAAGACCUUGAGUGUGGCUCGUCAGGCGUAGCAUUGAGUUUGCCAGGUUAGCUGUCGUGCGGGGGUUCGGCUCGGAGGUCUUGGGCUUCGGCCUAGGGGCUUCCGGCUGUCCCCUUUUGAAUGGACGUUCAGAGCUCUUGUGUCUAAUGCGGUUAUGCCCACCACAGCACGUUGUGAGGUCACCCACAGGCUCAAACUGCCGAUCGCGCAUCCAGGACGAUGGCAACGAUGCGUUGUUGAUGAUGGCUCUCGAGAGAGAGAGACUUCACUCACACGCGUGUCUAGUCCUGGGUCGGGCGGCGACCGAGAUAAACCUGGUAUGAUCCUCUUGCGACGAGCUGCUUUCUGGCCAGACCGACGCCCAGGCGCUUCCACUGUGCCGGAAGCGCCAACCCCAGGCGGUGUGAACCCAGCUGCAUUAUGCAAGGUCUCUCAGCCGGGCGUUGGUCUGAGUGGUGUUAAGUCCAGCACCAUCGGUCACGUCUCGAAACACGGGCCAAGGAGUAUAGCAUGUGUGCAAGUCUAAGGGUCUCACAAAACCCGAAGGCGAAGUGAAAGCAAGACUGUGGCGGGGGAGCUACGGCAAACCCGCCGGCCUGGCGGCGCGCUUGCGCGUCGCCGGCUUUAAGCAGAGCUGAUCCUGUUUUCUCGGUUAAUUCUUGGUGCAGGCGCAAGCUCCGGGCUCACGUACAACACUGGUCACGCCUCGCG